CACUCCCGUGCCCAAGCCCCCCCCCCGGAGCGGACAUCAGGCACGUUUACAAAACAGCCCAUGACGUCUAGCCUGUGCCACACCCUCACGGAACCCAGCAGUGACCAAUAUUAGGCCAUGAGCCAAUUUAAUUUUAAGCUCGACCUAGGCAGAGCACCAAUCGAGCCGGUAAACCCCGUGCCAGCCACCGCGGUUAUACGGCGGACUCAAGAUAAUAACCAUCGGCGUAAAAUGUGACUAGAAGAACCAAUUUCCUUUAUCAAGAACACUGAAAUUAAGAAUAAAGGCGUAAAAUACCUCCCCUCAAUAGAAUCUCAACAACAUAUCUCAAAAGAAACUAAUUUGACCUCACUAAAUCUAAGACACAAACUAGGAUUAGAUACCCUACUAUGCUUAGCACUAACCCAAGGCAGCUAGCCCAACCCACUGCCCGCCAGAGAACUACAAGUGAAAAACUUAAAACUCAAAAGACUUGACGGCGUUCCACCCACCCUAGAGGAGCCUGUCCUAUAAUCGAUAACCCACGCUCCACCCAACCUGCCCUUGCACCACAAGCCAGCCUAUAUACCGCCGUCUCCAGCCCGCCUUGCAAAAGAAUAACUAGCGGACCAAACAGCCACUACACAAGUACGUCAGGUCAAGGUGUAGCCUACGGACAGGAAGAGAUGGGCUACAUUUUCUACCUCAGAAAAAACCUACAACACCAUGAAAUACGUGCCAAAGGGCGGAUUUAGUAGUAAAUUGCGUAAGACUACCCAAUUGAACCAUGCCAUGGAACGCGUACACACCGCCCGUCACCCUCAUCAACUAAACCAAGUAUAACUAACUAAACUACUAAUCUAUUCCCUCAGAUGAGACA
rnacentral:rRNA from 1 species